rnacentral:rRNA from 1 species
UACGUUCACAUCAUGUUGAAACACCAGUUCUUGUACGAUCACCGAUGUUAAGCAACAUGGAGCCUGGUCAGUACUUAGAUCGGUGACUACUUGGGAAUACCAGGUGCUGUCA